UAGGGAAUCUUCGGCAAUGGGGGCAACCCUGACUGAGCAACGCCGCGUGAGUGAAGAAGGUUUUCGGAUCGUAAAGCUCUGUUGUAAGAGAAGAACGUGUGUGAGAGUGGAAAGUUCACACAGUGACGGUAACUUACCAGAAAGGGACGGCUAACUACGUACCAG
rnacentral:rRNA from 1 species